AUGCCAGGGCGUGGUCGCAUCGCGGCCGCCUCGCCUGCCUCGUCUACCUGCGGGACGAGGAUGUUGCCGCAGCCGUUGUGGAGCACAUCGAGGCCCGCCUCGCCUCCCUCCUCCGCGGAGACUCGGAAGCCAGCAGCGGCGCCGUGGCUGCCGUCCCCGCCGGCUCCAUCCCGCACGCCAACCGGCGCCUCCACCAUCUCAUGUAUGCCAGCGGCGACCAGGAGCACGCGUUCCCAACUCCCACGGUGCGUGCUCAUGGAUCUCGAGCCCGACACCAUGGGCUCCGUGCACAAGGGGCCCUACGGCCAGAUCUUCCGCCCUGACAACUUUGUCUUCGGCCAGUCCGGCGCCGGCAACAACUGGGCCAAGGGCCACUACACCGAGGGCGGGGAGCUCAUCGACUCCUUCCUCGACGUCGUCCGCGAGGAGGCCGAGAAUUGCGCUGCCUCCAAGGUGUGCCACUCCCUCGGCGGGGGCACCGGUUCCAAGAUCAGGGAGCAGUACCCGGGCCGGAUGAUGCUCACCUUCUCCGUGUUCCCAUCUCCAAAGGUCUCUGACACGGUGGUCGAGCCCUACAACGUCACUCUCUCGGUUCACUGGCUGGUGGAGAACGCCGACGAGUGCAUGGUGCUGGACAACAAGGCGCUCUACGACAUUUGCUUCCGCACCCUCAAGCUGACCACACCUAGCUUAGGUGGUGGAAUGAGGACACUCUCCAAGAGAACUUCUUAA
rnacentral:rRNA from 1 species